UCCGGGAUAACCCCGGGAAACUGGGGAUAAUACCGGAUAACGCAUAUAUGCUGGAAUGCUUUAUGCGUAAAAUGGAUUCGUCUGCCCAAGGAUGGGUCUGCGGCCUAUCAGGUAGUAGUGGGUGUAAUGUACCUACUAGCCUACACGGGUACGGGUUGUGAGAGCAAGAGCCCGAAGAUGAUUCUGAGACAUGAAUCCAGGCCUACGGGGCGCAGCAGGCGCGAAAACUUUACAAUGCGGAAACCGGUGAUAAGGGGACACCGAGUGCUAGCAUCAUAUGCUGGCUGUCCAGGUGUGUAAAAUACACCUGUUAGCAAGGGCCGGGCAAGACCGGUGCCAGCCGCCGCGGUAACACCGGCGGCCCGAGUGGUGAUCGUGAUUAUUGGGUCUAAAGGGUCCGUAGCCGGUUUGGUCAGUCCUCCGGGAAAUCUGAUAGCUCAACUAUUAGGCUUUCGGGGGAUACUGCCAGACUUGGAACCGGGAGAGGUAAGAGGUACUACAGGGGUAGGAGUGAAAUCUUGUAAUCCCUGUGGGACCACCUGUGGCGAAGGCGUCUUACCAGAACGGGUUCGACGGUGAGGGACGAAAGCUGGGGGCACGAACCGGAUUAGAUACCCGGGUAGUCCCAGCCGUAAACGAUGCUCGCUAGGUGUCAGGCAUGGCGCGACCGUGUCUGGUGCCGCAGGGAAGCCGUGAAGCGAGCCACCUGGGAAGUACGGCCGCAAGGCUGAAACUUAA
rnacentral:rRNA from 1 species